CUCGGGAAGCCGUCAGUCCUGCUGGAGGAGAAGGAAGAAGAAGGAUAAGGAUCUGAUAAGGAAAUCUUGUGAAAACCUGAAUCCUCUGCAGAUAUAAUGGAGCUAACUGGGACGCCUCUGAUGCUGUGACGUGGAGCUUGAUUGGACAUUUGCAGCGGUGUUUAAAAGCCUCAGGGAGAGACUUCAGGGGAAUGCAGGUCUGCAGGACGAUGUCUAGCUCUCCUCUCCAUGACGACACAGACUCUGUCCUCACUGCGGCGCGGCUCGCCCGCAGAGGAUGGACGGAGGGCGGGCAGAAGUCGAAGUGGCAGUUCUCCCACACGAACAGUUCACCUCGUCAAACGACCGUCUCGAGAUCAGACGAGAAUCUGGUUCAAAUCCGCGUCGAGGUUUAUGUGAAGGACUCCAGGAGCAGGCAGGGUCCAGUCUUCAGCGGCAGGACGACGUCUGACAGCAGAGAGAGCGGUGUAGGUGCAUUUUUAGCAAACAGACAAAAUAAUACAAACACUCUUAAAGACAAGCAGAAGAUUCUCUGCAGUCAGACGGGUGUCGUCUACGUGUGGGCGUCGGGCUGUCGCAACAAAAGCAGACCGUCCAGACGGUUCAGGCCCCCGAUGCUGCCCGUGAUCCCUGAGAUCUGAGCUCUGCAUAACACUCGGUCAUGACGACUCUUCCUGGUGAUGAUAGAGGUGCUGAAAUCUAUCCAAACUGUAACUAAACUUUAAGGUGAAAACGUCACGGCUGUAAUGAUUGAGUGGAUAAAAUGUUUUUAUGAUACGAUGUGUUAAUGCUGAUUUUUUUCAAUAAAAUAAAAAUGGA